rnacentral:rRNA from 1 species
AUCGAACGCUGGCGGCAUGCCUUACACAUGCAAGUCGAACGGUAACAGGUCUUCCGUUGCUGCCGAGUGGCGGAAGGGUGAGUAAUACUACGGAAUGUGCCCGAUCGCGGGGGAUAACGAGGAACAUGCUUUGCCAAUAGCUAAUACGACCUAAGGACGAUAGCGGCGGAUCUUAGGAUUUCGAGAGGCCGGUGCGGCAGAUAGCAGAUAAGGUAGUUGGUGGGAUAAAAGCUUACCAAGCGGACCACCUGUAGCCGGUCUGAGAGGAUGAACCGCCACACUGGGACGGGGACACGGCCCAGACUCCUACGGGAGGCAGCGGUGGGGAAUUUUGGACAAUGGGGGAAAGCCUGAUGCAGCCAUGCCGGGUGGAGGAUGAGGGCCUUCGGGUUGUAAACUGCUUUUGUACGGAACGAAAAGCCUCUUUCUGAAAAGGAGAGGUCGUGACGGUACCGGAAGAAUAAGCACCGGCUAACUACGUG